CUCCCGCGCCUUAAUAAUGCGUCACCCACCGAACUCCCCAAUCACAAGCUGCCGGGUCCUGGCAGGGGUAGCUCCGCCCCCCAACAGAGUUUCCCCUAGACCGGAGCUGGCGGGAUUACGUCCUCCAUCACUGAGGCCCCGCCCCUUGUCGUGCGUCUCCCUCCGCUAACGAUAAAUUCCAAUUUCGGUAUCCUCCGCCAAGACACAAAUCUUUUCCAGGCAUCUCUGCAGUGUUGCUUGAUAAAACCAGCUGUGUCAUGCGAAAAAAGGAGGAUUUGAAGGACCUUACCAUCCAUAGAAACUCCCUCUGUAAAUCGGAUUCUGUGCUGGAUCUCUUCUGCAACAGUGGUAAAAACCUUUGGGAUUCCAGCUGCAGAAUCAAGUUGGAAAAGAAGACCAGAACAGUGUUGUAGGCCAGGAUUUCAGUGGAUCCAGAGUCUGGAGUCAAUAGUAGAGGGAGCAAUUGGAGGCUAUCAGCAGCCCUGCAGCAUGG